GUCAAUAUUCAUAAUGUAGACUUAAAGGCACCAGAUCCUGUUUGAUUUUGGAAGCUAAGCAAUGCCAAUGCUUCUUAGUACUUGGAUGGAACCACCAACAAAUGCCAGGUGCUGGAGACU
rnacentral:rRNA from 11 species